rnacentral:tRNA from 1 species
AAGGAUUUAAGUUAAGCAAACUAUUAACCUUCAAAGUUAAAAAUAGGAAGGUUUCCUAAGCCUUA